GAUGAACGCUGGCGGCGUGCCUAAUACAUGCAAGUCGAGCGAACGGACGAGAAGCUUGCUUCUCUGAUGUUAGCGGCGGACGGGUGAGUAACACGUGGAUAACCUACCUAUAAGACUGGGAUAACUUCGGGAAACCGGAGCUAAUACCGGAUAAUAUUUUGAACCGCAUGGUUCAAAAGUGAAAGACGGUCUUGCUGUCACUUAUAGAUGGAUCCGCGCUGCAUUAGCUAGUUGGUAAGGUAACGGCUUACCAAGGCAACGAUGCAUAGCCGACCUGAGAGGGUGAUCGGCCACACUGGAACUGAAACACGGUCCAGACUCCUACGGGAGGCAGCAGUAGGGAAUCUUCCGCAAUGGGCGAAAGCCUGACGGAGCAACGACGCGUGAGUGAUGAGGGUCUUCGGAUCGUAAAACUCUGUUAUUAGGGAAGAACAUAUGUGUAAGUAACUGUGCACAUCUUGACGGUACCUAAUCAGAAAGCCACGGCUAACUACGUG
rnacentral:rRNA from 1 species